AACGAACGCUGGCGGCAUGCCAAACAUAUGCAAGUCGAACGAGAUCUUCGGGUCUAGUGGCGCACGGGUGCGUAACGCGUGGGAAUCUGCCCUUUGGUUCGGAAUAACAGUUGGAAACGACUGCUAAUACCGGAUGAUGACGAAAGUCCAAGGAUUUAUCGCCAGAGGAUGAGCCCGCGUAGGAUUAGCUAGUUGGUGUGGUAAAGGCGCACCAAGGCGACGAUCCUUAGCUGGUCUGAGAGGAUGAUCAGCCACACUGGGACUGAGACACGGCCCAGACUCCUACGGGAGGCAGCAGUGGGGAAUAUUGGACAAUGGGCGAAAGCCUGAUCCAGCAAUGCCGCGUGAGUGAUGAAGGCCUUAGGGUUGUAAAGCUCUUUUACCCGGGAUGAUAAUAACAGUACCGGGAGAAUAAGCUCCGGCUAACUCCGUGCCAGCCGCCGCCGUAACAC
rnacentral:rRNA from 1 species